rnacentral:rRNA from 1 species
CGAAAAGCCGUGGGGGAGCAAAACAGGAUUUAGAUACCAGGGUAGUCACGCAGUAAAACGAUGUCGACUUGGAGGGUUGUUUCCCCUUGAGGAGUGGCUUCCGGAGCUAACGCGUUAAAGUCGACCCGCCUGGGGAGUACGGCCGCAAGGUUAAAACUCAAAUGAAAUAGACGAGGGGCCCGCACAAGCGGUGGAGCAUGUGGUUUAAUUCGAUGCAACGCGAAGAACCUUACCUACUCUUGACAUAACAGAGAACUUAGCAGAGAUGGAUUGGUGCCUUCGGGAACUCUGAGACAGGUGCUGCAUGGCUGUCGUCAGCUCGUGUUGUGAAAUGUUGGGUUAAGUCCCGCAACGAGCGCAACCCUUAUCCUUUGUUGCCAGCGAUUCGGUCGGGAACUCAAAGGAGACUGCCGGUGAUAAACCGGAGGAAGGUGGGGAUGACGUCAAGUCAUCAUGGCCCUUACGAGUAGGGCUACACACGUGCUACAAUGGCGCAUACAAAGAGAAGCGACCUCGCGAGAGCAAGCGGACCUCACAAAGUGCGUCGUAGUCCGGAUCGGAGUCUGCAACUCGACUCCGUGAAGUCGGAAUCGCUAGUAAUCGUGGAUCAGAAUGCCACGGUGAAUACGUUCCCGGGCCUUGUACACACCGCCCGUCACACCAUGGGAGUGGGUUGCAAAAGAAGUAGGAUGAGUUAGACCUCCGCUACAGACUGCAAUCUAGCUGUCCGCA